GUGGGCAAGUGCCACUAACAUCUAAGUGAAUUAACCUCAACAACUUUGUGAUUCUUUCUUCUUUCCAAAAGAAUAAAGAUUCGAACAUUUCACCUCUAUACAAUUGUAAUAAGAAGGUAUUGGAUCCGGAUCUAACGAUCCAAAGCAUCCAUCUAUGACCAACUUGUAUUUUAUGUUUUUGAGGUAUCACAACUCAGUUGGGAUUAGUCACUACCUUGCAACCUUUUGGGUUUUAAGCAUCGUUAUAUUCUAACAGUUAACACUACAUAUCAUCUCUACUAUAGAGACAAUCAAAUUAGAUUACAAUAAUCUAAUCAUUCAUUAAUAAAGAACAAUGUUUUGUCAAACAAAACAUUCAUCCAUCCCUUAUAGUGAUGGAAUUAAGUUCCUUAAAAUUGGAAUGUAAAGACAAUCUUUGGUUUUUCCAAUUUAUUUGGUAGUUCAUAUGGGGAAGUAAGUACCAUCUGCUUUCGCAGAGAUCUACAUUUGAUUCACGUUCCGAAUGUGAAGUACUUUCUCUUCUCUCAUUAAUCUUCUACUUUUUAUUAGCCACACUUUUACAACGAUUGUAAAACAUAGUUACUAAUACGGAAUCAAGCAUUCAAGUAGAAGAAUCAACUGUUUUGAACUUUUCAAGAACAAUUUACAACACCUUCGAAAGGUGUGUUCUUGACACUUGCAAGACAUUUCUUGCAAAUACCCCUUCCAAUGUCCAUCCUUUCAUAAAGAAAUUUUGUUCCCUUGGAGUUAAUUUCGCUUUCUUCAUUUGACUUCUCCUUUUGACUACAAUAGUCAUGGUCCCUAAACUCCCACUAUCUCUCU
rnacentral:lncRNA from 1 species